rnacentral:rRNA from 1 species
UACGUAGGGACCAAGCGUUGUUCGGAUUUACUGGGCGUAAAGGGCGCGUAGGCGGCGUGACAAGUCACUUGUGAAAUCUCUGGGCUUAACCCAGAACGGCCAAGUGAAACUGUUGUGCUAGAGUGCAGAAGGGGCAAUCGGAAUUCUCGGUGUAGCGAUGAAAUGCGUAGAUAUCGAGAGGAACACCAGAGGUGAAGACGGGUUGCUGGGCUGACACUGACGCUGAGGCGCGAAAGCCAGGGGAGCAAACAGG